rnacentral:rRNA from 1 species
AACGAACGCUGGCGGCAGGCCUAACACAUGCAAGUCGAGCGAGACCUUCGGGUCCAGCGGCGGACGGGUGAGUAACGCGUGGGAACGUGCCCUUUUCUGCGGAAUAGCCUCGGGAAACUGAGAGUAAUACCGCAUACGCCCUUCUGGGGAAAGAUUUAUCGGAUAAGGAUCGGCCCGCGUUGGAUUAGGUAGUUGGUGGGGUAAUGGACUACCAAGCAGACGAUCCAUAGCUGGUUUGAGAGGAUGAUCAGCCACACUGGGACUGAGAAACGGCCCAGACUCCUACGGGAGGCAGCAGUGGGGAAUCUUAGACAAUGGGGGCAACCCUGAGCUAGCCAUGCCGCGUGAGUGAUGAAGGCCUUAGGGUUGUAAAGCUCUUUCAGCUGGGAAGAUAAUGACGGUACCAGCAGAAGAAGCCCCGGCUAACUCCGUGCCAGCCGACGCAGUAAGAC